CUUUCUACGCCAGAUGUAGUGCUGUGUGGUUUUGACAGAUAGUUCAAUCUUAGUUUCAUCAGUCCACAAAAUAUUUUUCCAAUACCGCUGUGGAGUGUCAAUGUGCUCUUUUGCAAACUUCAGGCGUGCAGCAACGUUCUUAUUAGAUGAAUUGCAUUCAACCAAGGAGGCCUGGAACAGCCACCUGAUACGUCCAUCAAUGAAUGAACGUGUUCCCCAUGGUCGGCCUGAUGUCAUGUAUACUAUUCCCGGAAUUGACACAGUGGACUAUUUGUGCCAAGUGUCAGAGGAAGAAUGUAUCUGGUGCGAAGGUAACUGCAUCCACCACCAUGACAUUGCUUGUGAUAAUGUUUUAUUCACCCUCUGCACCUACAUAAUGGCUCAAAACAAUCUGUGUUCCCCUGAAUGCAUACACUGCCGUUGACCUCUGCUUUUCCUUGUGAAAGGAACUGACUACACUAUUAAACACCCCUCUCCUGUACUCCCCAGAGGAUUGGUACGCUAUACUUAGUGUGACUAAGGUGUGACUAAGGUGUGACUUAGUUUAAUGUCUAUAGUUCCUUUCAUACCCACCGGGGGCAUUGGUGGCUUGUCUUUUAAGGCUCUGGGGUUCAAGCCCCAGCACUGCCAGGCUGCUACUGUUGGGCCCUUGAGCAAGCCCCUUAACCCUCUUUGCUCCAUGGGCGCUGUAUCAUGGCUGACCCUGCGCCCUGACCCCAGCUUCCUGACCUGCUCUGGUAUGUGAAGAAAAUAAUUUGUGUGCUCUAGUGUAUAUGUGAUCAAUAAAGACUCUAUCAUUAUAAACCUUUACACUGUCAUUAGUAUGCAUUGCUUUGCCUGUUUGUUUUUUGUGAGUAUACUCAACAGCAUUGCACCUACCAACUCCCUAUUUGUACACAGUUAAAUGUCUAGAGUUGCUUUUUCAAAGCUAUACACUGUGACAUUGGUAUUCACUGCAUUGCUUGUUUUUCAAUAGUUCUUAUGCCUGUAGUUACUUUUACAAGGUGGUAAUACUCCCUGCAUGUGCUUGUUUGUACGUAGGUCAUGUGUGCAUAUUUAAUUUAUUUUAUAAACCUAUACAAAGCAGCAAUGUUAUUGACUGCCUUUACAUACAGGGUCUGAAUUUGCAUGCUUGUUUUGCAAGAAGAAAGUAAACGUGAUUCCUGCUGUGUCUCCAAUACAUACCCUUACUUACUUGUGAAAUUGUACAACCAUCUGUCCUCCUCAGACAGGGCAUUUUUAAAUGUCAUUGUGUCAGAGUCUGUCUUUAUUACAGUAACUUGUGGGAUAAGGUGUAAAUCACCUGAUAAUGUUUAAAAAUGAUGGAGUGUGUUUUUAUGAAAACAAUAUAAAUGUUGCCUGGUAAUACACUCCUUUGCCUAUAGUUUCAUAGGUGGCUUCAAAGACCUGCUGAAACCAUUUGUGGUUUCAAACAGGUGUGACGUCACAAUUCAGAGGUUUUUUGAAACUUGUUCAAUCUACUUGUCGGCAGUUAAACAGGCAACUUAGCCAAGUCCAGCACUGAGCCCUAUUCAACAAAAUACUUAUUUAUUACACUGACUGGUUGUUUUUUUUGUUUGUUUGUUUGUUUGUUUGUUUGUUUGUUUUAAACUGUCCAUGUAGUGGCAGAUGAAAACAUGAAUGUUAAUAACUCUGAAAUCAGGAAUAUUCAAAUCCAAAAUGACAAUUGCUUAGUGUAAGUUAUCUUGAAAAUUUGCUUUGUGAAAUAACUCCUCUGGUCUUUUAUCCCUAGACAGCUUGACAGCUUUUAUAUUUUAUAUAU
ensembl:lncRNA